rnacentral:snoRNA from 1 species
GGCCGAUGAUGUUAUCAUUGUUACACACACCUACGCGGUGAUCCUACGGGUGAACCGCGACUAAUGACGACAUGCUAUUAGCGGAUUUCUAUGAGGCC